UGCAGCUGACAGCGGCGCCCUCCUGACAGUGCCUGUUGUUAAAUAUACAGAGCUAACACUCAUUAGCAAGUUACAGUGAGAUAAAAAGUUUAUAAUAUGUUACUAUGGCAAUGUCAUCUGAGGAGUACUGCCAAUUCUGGUCAGGAUUCAUUGAUCUGUACCAUCAGAACGAGUGCCUGUGGCGUGUCAGAAGCCCGGACUAUGCCAACAGAAUCAAGCGGAAUUAGGCAUAUCAGCAGCUUAUUGAGUACAGUAGAGGCAGAAACUCUGAUGUCGAUGUGAAUUGGGUGAAGAAAAAAAUCGCAAAUUUCCGAACAGUCUUCGUUAAGGAACAAAAGAAGGUGCAGGAUUCACAGUGAUCCGGACGCGGGACUGAUGAGGUCUAUAAACUGACGCUGUGGUACUAUGACCAAAUUCAGUUCAUUAUAGAGCAAGAGCCGCGGGUAAGGUCACGGGACGCUCUGGCUCCAGAGUCUCCAAUUCCUGUAAAAGAGGAGGCCCAGGAAACUCUGGAUCUGGCAUCUUCCGGACGAUCGGAUCUCCUACAUGAAUAGUGAAUACCGACUGAAGACGCCAUCUGCCUCAGAGGAUACAGUUCUUCAGAGGUUCCAUAUUGUGAGAAACCAUCACACAGGUCUUCUGAUUGCGGUUUGAUUAUCAUAUGAAGUUGUCUAUCAGCUCUGUUUUUAAGCAGAAGUUUGGUCACUAGACCACAAUUCUAAAAAUAUGGUUCUCCAUGGUUCAUUGGGCUUUUAAAUGCAGAAUCUUGUCAGUUAACCAUUAAUUAUUAUUGGUAUUAUACCUACUUUUAAAGCUAUACACAGUGUGGCAUAUGUCCUUUCAGGAUAUUCUUUAACAUCUGGCAAUAGAUCUAUACCCUUGAGGAAGUCCCAAAAAGGGACGAAACGCAUUGGGUUUCUUUCAAGUACUGUAUCCAUCUGUCGCCACUUGUGAAUAUAAGAUUGUUAAAGACAUCAAACUCUUAUUGGAUGUAUACUACAUAUUGAUAUACUGUCCAAAAAACCUGGAAAAAAAAUCUACUGUGAAUUCUUUU